GUUAAUGUAGCUUAAAACCAAAGCAAGGCACUGAAAAUGCCUAGAUGAGUGCAUGUACUCCAUGAACA
rnacentral:tRNA from 1 species